rnacentral:ncRNA from 1 species
AAUAAGAAGAACAUGAUGUUGGUUCAGAUUAAACGCUAAAUAAGGACAUGACACAUGCAAAUUAAACGUUUAUUAUAUAUCCAUAUAAUAAAUAUGUAGUGUACCCGUGAGUAAAAUUUGGAAUUUAUAACUAUAAAUAAAGUUAAAUGCUUUAUAUUAUUUAUAAUAAAAAUAAUUAUUAUAAAUAUAAAGAUUAUAUUUAUAUAUUCCCCGCGGCUCCUCCACGACUAACGUCGUAGAGAAGGCCGCGGGGCCUAAAUAUAAUUGUUUAUAGUCAAGCCAAUAUUGGUUUAUGAUAGUAGGUAAAUUAAAAGUUAUACCUAGUCGACAAUCCAUAAUCGAUAAUUAAAGUUAGAACGAUCACGUUGACUUUGAAAUAUAGUCAAUAUCUAUAUGAUACAGCAGUGAGGAAUAUUGGACAAUGAUCGAAAGAUUGAUCCAGUUACUUAUUAGAAUGAUAUAUUAUCUAUUAAUAUAUAUAAUUUAUUUUUAUAAAUAUAAAUAAUUAUAAUAUUAUUGAUUAACAAUAAAGUUCAUAAAUAAUUAAAAUAAUGAUAUUAAUUACUAAAUUUAUAUUUAGUGUAUAUAAUAUAUAUAAUUUAUUUUAUAUAUAUUGUAUAUAUUUAAUAGUCCUAACCAAAAUUUGUGCCAGCAGUUGCGGUAAAACAAUGAGGGCUAGCGUUAAUCAUAAUGGCUUAAAGAGUUCGUAGAAUUAUAUAUAUAUUAAUUAUAUAUUAGAGUUAAUUAAUAUUAAUUAAAGAAUUAUAAUAGUAAAGAUGAAAUAAUAAUGAUAAUUAUAAGACUGGUAUAUGUGAAAAUAUUAAUUAAUAAUUAACUGACAUUGAGGAACGAAGGCUAGAGUAGCAAUACGGAUUCGAUACCCGAGUAGUUCUAGCAGUAAACUAUGAACACCAUAUAUUAUUAAAUAAUAUAAUAAUAUAAAAAUGAAAAUGUAAGUGUUCCGCCUGAAGAGUACGUUCGCAAGAAUGAAAUUCAAGACAAUAGACGGUUACAGACUUAAGCAGUGGAGCAUGUUAUUUAAUUCGAUGAUCCCCGACUAACCUUACCAUAUUUUGUAUAUUUAUUUAUAUAUACAUAUAAAUAAUUACAGGCGUUACAUCGUUGUCUUCAGUUCGUGCUGCAAAGUUUUAGAUUAGUUUCAUGAACGAACAAAUCUCCAUAUAUAUAUUUAUAAAUUAUAUAUAAUAUUUUAAAUCUAAUAGAUUUAAUAUGAAAGGAAUUAAGACAAAUCAUGAUGAUCCUAAUAAUAUGGGCUAUAGACGUGCUAUAAUUAAAUGAUAACAAAACUAUAUAUAAUUAUUAAAAAUAAAUAAUAAAUUAAUAGUAUAAAACAUUUAAAUCUUUAAUAUAUUUAUAUAUUAUAUAUAAUAUGAAUUAAUAUCUGAAAUUCGAUAUUAUGAAAAAAGAAUUGCUAGUAAUACGUAAAUUAGUAUGUUACGGUGAAUACUUUAACUGUUUCGCACUAAUCACUCAUCACGCGUUGAAACAUAAUAUUUUCCAAAUAUAUAAAUUUAUAUUUAUAUUAUAUAUCUUAUUUUAUAUAUAAUUAUUUAAUAUAAUUAUUUAUAUAGAAGAAAUAUUACGAAUUAAUGCGAAGUUGAAAUACAGUUACCGUAGGGGAACCUGCGGUGGGCUUAUUAAUAUC